rnacentral:sRNA from 1 species
UAUAUAAAAUAUUAAAUUGUUUUACGAACUUAUUUGUUUAUAAUUUGGUAACAGAUAGAUAUUUGAGUAUUCAGUAUAUUUUGCUUCAGUUUAGGAAAUCUUUGAUGACCCGUCUUUAGAUCCAAUAAACCUUAUAAUCUAGAUAUUAACCUGCAGUAUACCGCAGGUAGGCUUAUAUUUUAGUUAAACUAAAAACUUUUAUUGUAAAGAUGAUUUAAAAAUAUAUGAUAUUAUUUUAUUUGAUUUUAAAUGUAUAGUAAACUGUGAGUUGUAUAUGUUUUGUUGAUAUUAUGUAUAUUGUUUAGUGUUUAUAAUUAGAC